rnacentral:rRNA from 1 species
GGAUGAUCAGCCACACUGGAACUGACACACGGUCCAGACUCCUACGGGAGGCAGCAGUGAGGAAUUUUGCGCAAUGGGGGAAACCCUGACGCAGCAACGCCGCGUGAGUGAUGAAGGCUUUCGGGUCGUAAAGCUCUGUCAAGUGGGAAGAAACCACGAGGUGAUAAUAUCGCUUUGUGCUGACGGUACCACUGAAGGAAGCACCGGCUAACUCCGUGCCAGCAGCCGCGGUAAUACGGGGGGUGCAAGCGUUAUUCGGAAUCAUUGGGCGUAAAGGGCGCGUAGGCGGUUUGUUAAGUCAGAUGUGAAAGCCCGGGGCUCAACCCCGGAAGUGCAUUUGAUACUGGCGGACUUGAGUAUGGGAGAGGGAAGUGGAAUUCCUGGUGUAGAGGUGAAAUUCGUAGAUAUCAGGAGGAACACCGGUGGCGAAGGCGACUUCCUGGACCAAUACUGACGCUGAGGCGCGAAGGCGUGGGUAGCAAACAGGAUUAGAUACCCUGGUAGUCCACGCAGUAAACGGUGAUCACUAGGUGUAGCGGGUAUUGACCCCUGCUGUGCCGCAGUUAACGCAUUAAGUGAUCCGCCUGGGGAGUACGGCCGCAAGGUUAAAACUCAAAGGAAUUGACGGGGGCCCGCACAAGCGGUGGAGCAUGUGGUUUAAUUCGACGCAACGCGAAGAACCUUACCUGGGUUUGACAUCUCGGGGAUUUUUUGGAAACAAGAAAGUGCCCUUCGGGGAGCCCGAAGACAGGUGCUGCAUGGCUGUCGUCAGCUCGUGUCGUGAGAUGUUGGGUUAAGUCCCGCAACGAGCGCAACCCUUAUCUUUAGUUACCAUCACUUCGGGUGGGGACUCUAAAGAUACUGCCCCGGUCAACGGGGAGGAAGGUGGGGAUGACGUCAAGUCCUCAUGGCCUUUAUGCCCAGGGCUACACACGUGCUACAAUGGGCGAUACAAAGGGUAGCGAGCCUGCGAAGGUGAGCCAAUCCCAAAAAGUCGUUCUUAGUUCGGAUUGGAGUCUGCAACUCGACUCCAUGAAGCUGGAAUCGCUAGUAAUCGCGGAUCAGCACGCCGCGGUGAAUACGUUCCCGGGCCUUGUACACACCGCCCGUCACACCAUGAGAGUUGGUUGUACCAGAAGUUGUUGGGCUAGCCCGCAAGGGAGGCAGGCACCUAAGGUAUGGCUGAUGAUUGGGGUGAAGUCGAAACAAGGUA